AUCAUUAGGAUUGUGCUGUACAGUGCACUGAUGAGCUUCUAUUGACCAUCGAGAAACUCCCCAGAAUUACACAAAAGAUAAGGUAGACUAAUCUCCAACAAUCAGUCAAUCACAACACCAAAUUGAUCUCCACCACUCAACUUUUCUUGUGAAUCCUAGGCAAGAACUCAAUCCUGUAAUUGCCUCUUAACAGUUUCUAUCUAACGCACCCUACUAUGAAAAUUGUCCUUCAAAAUUUCCGGUAGAAAUGGAAAUUGGACUCCUGAAACUUUUUCCUGCUCUUCUCAUCAUUCUUCAAGCUCUCUCCACAACCCAUAUAUCAAUCCUGCAGGUAGCUGAUGCUGCAAACUCUAAGCUUUUUAGAGAAUAUAUAGGAGCAAAUUUCAAAAAUGUCGCAUUCGAUGAGGUUCCCAUUAACCCAAAUGUUGAAUUUCACUUCAUUCUUUCCUUUGCUAUAGACUACGAUACUUCAUCUCCUCCUUCCCCUACCAAUGGAAAUUUCAAUGUGUUUUGGGAUUCUGGUAAUCUUAGCCCUUCCCAAGUUUCCUCCAUCAAGAAUCAGCAUUCAAAUGUCAGAGUGGCUUUGAGCCUUGGAGGGGAUACUGUUGGAAAUGAUCCUGCUUUCUUUAAACCAUCCUCUGUGGAAUCUUGGCGAGCUAAUGCUGUGUCUUCCCUCACUCAAAUCAUCAAGAACUAUAAUUUGGAUGGUAUUGAUAUUGAUUAUGAGCACUUCCAAUCUGAUCCUGAUACUUUUGCUGCUUCUGUUGGUGGGCUUAUAGAAACCCUCAAGACAAACAAGGUAAUCUCUUUUGCUUCUAUAGCUCCAUACCCCGAAGUUCAAAGCUAUUACUUGGCAUUAUGGAAGAGUUAUGGAAACCUCAUAGACUAUGUCAAUUUCCAGUUUUAUGCUUAUGAUAAAGGAACCACUGUAUCUCAGUUCUUGGAUUAUUUCGAGACUCAAAGCUCUAAUUAUAAUGGGGGUAAGAUCUUAACGAGCUUUGAGAGUAAUGGGAAUCGUGGCUUAUCACCAGAAAAUGGUUUCUUUACUGCCUGCGAUACGCUUAAGAACCAGCAGAAGCUCCAUGGUAUCUUUGUAUGGUGUGCAGAUGACUCCAAGAAUAAUGGUUUCCAGUACGAAAGGCAAUCUCAAGAACUAUUAGCAGGUAGUCAACUGGUUUAAUCAUUCUCUUUGUGGAAGUCUGUGAAUCUAUAUUUGAGCUGCUAAAACUUUCUACAUAAUGCCUGAUGAGCACGAAUCUAUGCUACUGUAUUUGGAACUGCUUUUCAGAAAAGUACUAUUGUGGAUUCCUUGUUAAAGUGUUGAAGAUGGGAUUUUUCUGGACAUCGGAUCCAGGCCCUUUAUUGGAAGGGACUGUUCCUGUAAUCUGUCAACUUCCCAUAUAUCUUGGAUCUGGGGUUGACAAGUAAAAUUACAAACUAAUUUUUCAUUCACAUUGUGUUAAAGAAAAUAUGACACUAUGAUAUUAAGUGGAUUGACUAGUAGAUGAUAUUUAAGAAUCUGCCUGUGUUUUCUCCACCAUGUGAGAAACAAAGAACUUUAUACUAUGAAUCAGAGAACAAAAUGUUGCAAG
rnacentral:misc_RNA from 1 species